AAUCUGUGAUAUGGGCACUUUCUGAUUGCUUCCUUGAAUCUCUCCCACGCCUCAUUAAGUGAUUCACCAUUGAACUUGGUGAAGUUAGUGAUUUCGUUCCUCAAUCU
rnacentral:snoRNA from 1 species